AAAAACACCAAGAACAUAGUUUUCAUUGAAGUGGGUCUUUAACUUCUGCUCAGUCCAUUCAAUAUUUAUCUUUAUUACAGCUUUUUCUUUUCUUUUGUUUUUUAUUUUGUUUUUAAUGUCACCUCGUCACAGUGAGGAAAAGCUAAAAUGUAAUUAAAACUCCUCAAAGUACAUUGAAUGAAGCUGUAACUGCAGGAUUUUAACCAAGCCUGCAGAAAAGUUUUACAUUUAGACUAGAAACCACAGGAGAACAUCUGAGUCCAGCAGGUGAAAGCUGAAAGUAGCUUCAUUCCGUUUGGUUCUUUUGGGUUCUACCAGCUGAUUGGUUCCUGCAGAUGUCCAAAUUCUGCUGCGUUUGUGUACCACCAAUUCAUCUGACAGGAAUUUGUGUUCCACAUUGUAUGAUAUGAUAUUUAAUAAACCAACAGCAGCACUUUAAAAUAAAUCUAUAUUUAACUUAAUACUAGGAGUGAUGUGGUCAGUUCUGGUUCUGGUACGAUGACAGUAGUGCUGUGAUAAAGCUGCAGCUUUCGAACAGUUUAUUCAAGAUGAGUACGGUAGCCUACAGACUGUUACAUUGGUCUAGUCUGCUGGAAAUUAAAAGGCAUGAAUCAGCUUCAGCAAGUCUUGUCAUGAGAUUUAAUUUCACUUUUACAUCAAGAUGGAUGAAUAAGAAUUAAUGAGGCUGAAACUCCCAUCUGAGUCAAUAAAAUAUUAUAAAACUAUAAAAUACAGUCAUGUUAUCAAAGCAUUUCAAUGUGUUUAGUUGGUGACUCAGUGUGGUUCCUUAAGGAUCAAGUAGACUCCAAACAAGAUCAUGUUUGUCUUCUGAAUCAUGGAAAUGAGCUUCAGUGGUCUGUGUCACUGUUUAUCAGAAAGUUUUAACAAUCUUUUUACUCCCACAACUUCCUUUAAGGAUUCUUAAUAGACGACUCAGGAUGUACAGUCCACAGCACUUGAAUGAAUAAAAAUGUUGUUUUCGUUGUCUGCAACUACAUACACUCGGACAAAGCACCACUCUAUGCAACUGGGUCUUGGACUUCCUGACAGACAGACCACAGUCUGUGAAGAUCCGCGACGUCUCCUCCUCUCCUAUCACCCUCAGCACGGGAUCCCCCAGGGUUGUGUGCUAAACCCCCUACUGUUCAUCUUGGUCAUGCACGACUGCACAGAGAGUCACGACAGCUGGCUGAUCUUAAAGUUUGAGGAUGACACAGCUGUGGUUGGACGCAUCACCAACAAUGAUGAGUCCAACCACUAUGGGGCUCUGUUUGUGCCAAAAAUAUGAAAAUAUGCUUUUGCAUCCACUGUCUAUGUCUUUGGUCCAUUGUUUAUGUCAUUGUAGAAGUCACCAUGCGUCAGGUUGGUGCCAGAAAUCCCGAAUGGGAACUGUUUGCUGUGCAACACUGACCCCUGUUGGAAUGACUGGAUGGAAUGACUAGAAUGGAUAUAUUUUAUAACUUCAUUACAGGUUGUAAAAUAUACAAUAGCUGCAGUAAAUUUGUGGGUUUGUAUAGAACCUAAAAAUGGUUUAAUAAAAAGUUUCCUUUUUUUUGGUUUACUUCUCACAAGUUAUUAUAGUAAAUGUGACUGUGUAUAAGUACCUACCCUAUUUUGAGAAUGUAAAAAAAUAACUAGAAAUUGUUUUUUAUUAUUUUAUUGAUCAGACGACAAUAGUGUUAAAUGUUAAUUUUAUCAUGUGACUUUUUUUAUUGCAGAAAUUAAUCCUAACAAUGUUUACCUUACUCUUAUUGGAUUUCAGUAAAAGUUGCAUUCAAGUAUUUUGUUAUUAUCAUAUGCACCUACUGUUAUAGUAAAAAGUAUUUGAUUCCUUGAUGAUUUAGUUGGUUUGCCCACUAAUAAAGACAUGAUAAUUCAUACUUUUAAUGGUUGAUGUGUUCCAACAGAAUACAGAAACAGAGAGACAGAAUAUCAAAACGAAAAUCCAGAAAAUAACUUUAAAGCACUUAUAUUAUUUUUUCUUUGUAUUUAAUUGAGGGAAAUAAGUAUUUGAUCCCCUCGUAAAGCAUUAGGAGAGCUGGCUUUCACAUAACAGUUAGAUACUCCCAAUCAACUUGUUACCUGAAUUGAAGACACCUGUUCUCACUUAUCACCUGCAUGAAAGUCACCUGUUCACAGAAUCAGAUUUCCUCGGAGCAGGAAAAAUGCUGCCUAUGAUCCCGGAACACUAUGCCCAUCAAACAUGGAGUAAGCUGAAAAUUGGUCGUAGCUGGGUCUUCCAACAUGAAGAGGAACCACAUUAAGGUCCUGGAGUGGCCCAGCCAGUCUCCGGACCUCAAUCCAAUUGAAAAUCUAUGGAGAACUGAAGAUGAGAUCUCUGUACAGCAGAAUCAACCUAUGGAUUAUCUUUGGUCAUGCAGCAUUCAUCGACAGCCAGCUCUGCAAACAAUGUUGAAGUACAGUAAAGCUGCAACUUUCUCAGCAGACCACCAUGCAUGAUGUUCCAAUCACUAACCAGAAAGUUCCUGGCUCUCAGUUGCAGCGCCCCAUCUAUGUUGACCAACUUUUUAAAUAAAAGUGUUACAAUGAA